GACGUAGGGCGCGAGCGUUGUCCGGAUUUAUUGGGCGUAAAGAGCUCGUAGGCGGUUUGUCGCGUCUGCUGUGAAAAUCCAGGGCUUAACCCUGGACCUGCAGUGGGUACGGGCAGACUAGAGUGCGGUAGGGGAGAUCGGAAUUCCUGGUGUAGCGGUGAAAUGCGCAGAUAUCAGGAAGAACACCCGUGGCGAAGGCGGUUCUCUGGGACGGUACUGACGCUGAGACGCGAAAGCGUGGGGAGCGAACAGG
rnacentral:rRNA from 1 species